GACAGAGGGUGCAAGCGUUGCUCGGAUUUACUGGGCGUAAAGGGCGCGUAGGCGGCUUGACAAGUCACUUGUGAAAUCUCCGGGCUUAACUCGGAACGGCCAAGUGAAACUGUCAUGCUAGAGUGCAGAAGGGGCAAUCGGAAUUCUUGGUGUAGCGGUGAAAUGCGUAGAUAUCAAGAGGAACACCUGAGGUGAAGACGGGUUGCUGGGCUGACACUGACGCUGAGGCGCGAAAGCCAGGGGAGCAAACGGG
rnacentral:rRNA from 1 species